rnacentral:rRNA from 1 species
UUGACCUCAAAUCAGGUAGGACUACCCGCUGAACUUAAGCAUAUCAAUAAGCGGAGGAAAAGAAACUAACAAGGAUUCCCCUAGUAACUGCGAGUGAAGCGGGAAAAGCUCAAAUUUAAAAUCUGGYUAGCUUCGCUGCCCGAGUUGUAAUCUAGAGAAGCAUUAUCAGCGCUCGCGGCGUGUAUAAGUGUCCUGGAAUGGACCAUCAUAGAGGGUGACAAUCCCGUCUUUGACACGGCUGCCUUUAGUGCUAUUGAUGUGCUCUCRACGAGUCGAGUUGUUUGGGAAUGCAGCUCUAAAUGGGUGGUAAGUUCCAUCUAAAGCUAAAUAUUGGCGAGAGACCGAUAGCGAACAAGUACCGUGAGGGAAAGAUGAAAAGRACUUUGGAAAGAGAGUUAAACAGUACGUGAAAUUGCUGAAAGGGAAACGCUUGAAGUCGGUCGCGUUGGUUGGGUAAUCGAGAAAUCAACCUUGCUUUCUAAAAGCUUGGCUUAUUUCCCAGCUGACGGGCCAGCAUCAGUUUUGACCGGUGGAUAAAGGCCAAGGGAAUGUGGCACCUCUUGGGUGU